CCAGCGAUCUGAAAGUGAACAGAAGUGGGAAAAGCAGACCUGAGCUCUCCCAUGUGACAGAGCAGAGAGCCUGCACGCAUUCUUUCGAAGCAGAGACACACAGCUGGCCAGGGCCUCCAUCCCACAGCUGCAGGCCAGAGCACAUCAGCACCGCCGGCCAGUGAAGAUAGGAGGGUCAGGUGCACAGUCAGGGCCAAGCCGGGCGUGGGACCAGCUCCACCGACCGCACCUGCUGAGGUCGGAGUGUGGAGCAGGCAGCCCAUGUCCGCAGGAGUCCCGAGGACUAACGGCCAGGACUCAGCAUUUGGGAGCCUGGAGAUCCGCCCUGUGUGGGCAGUGUGUUUGGGAGCGCACCUCAGAGUGCUUCCUCACGCUCGGCCAGGCCCAGCCAUUCCAUGUCAACCUCACGGCAUCAUUGUCAUGGUCCUCUCCAAAGCACAGACGGCCAGAGGGGUGCUGCCUGCCGCCCAGGCAGAGGCUGUGGGGAGAGGCCCCCGCACCCCGCGGCUGCCCAGGCCCAGGCAGAGGCUGUGAGGAGGCCCCUGCACCCCGCGGCUGCCCAGGCCCAGGCAGAGGCUGUGGGGAGAGGCCCCGCACCCCGCGGCUGCCCAGGCCCAGGCAGAGGCUGUGGGGAGAGGCCCCGCACCCCGCGGCUGCCCAGGCCCAGGCAGAGGCUGUGGGGAGAGGCCCCGCACCCUGCAGCUGCCCAGGCCCAGGCAGAGGCUGUGACCACGCUGCUGUAGCGAGCGCAGCCGGCGUCCCUGCCAGCGUGAGAUCCCUGGUUCACUUCUGAUCCGCCCUCCUGCCCGCUGUGUCUGACAGGGUUGGGUUCUUCAGGAAGAGGAUGAGCUCCUGGGCUGAUUCCUCACGUCUGCCCUCGCUGAGUCUGUGCCCGAGAGUUGUGUGCACAACCACUCAGGGGACAUGCUUGGCUGAGUUUAACGUCUUGCCUCGCUACUGCUGGCUUCCGUUACUGCCGGGCUUUGGUUCUUCCAGGAGAUGAACUCGUCGGUUAAUGUUCAGCCGCCUCAUUACUGCUCGUGCCCGGAACUCCGAGGGCCAGGUGCUCAGGCAUGAAGGAGCUGAAUCUUCGGUUGACUUUCUGAUUGUCUUCAUGACCGCGGGCGACGUGACUCAGAGGGCGGGUGUUGAUUCCUGUGUGUGUGUGUGUGUUGCCGUGAAUGCUGGGUGUAAAUGGCGUCACUGGGACUCGCCAGACAUCGCCUUCCGAGUCUGCGCUUGCUUUCUGCUUAGUUCACUUCCGAGCUGAAUAUUCUUUCUAGGAAUUAACUAGAUUAGAAUUAGGUAUACAAGCCAGGGCCUGCUUGUUCAAGAAGUACUGAAAACAACGGUGCAAAGUACCUAAUUUGGGGAUUUUGCUUUCUUUUUUUCCUAAGUGAUCAGAGUUACAGAAAUCCCAAACAUGAAGGGGACUCUGGCUAAUGUACGCAGACAAUCGCAGCAGCUUAGGGACCCUCUGACAUCCUGCUGAAUUAGGGACACUCUGACAUCCUGCUGAAUUAGGGACACUCUGACAUCCUGCUGAAUUAGGGACCCUCUGACAUCCUGCUGAAUUAGGGACCCUCUGACAUCCUGCUGAAUUAGGGACCCUCUGACAUCCUGCUGAAUUAGGGACCCUCUGACAUCCUGCUGAAUUAGGGACACUCUGACAUCCUGCUGAAUUAGGGACCCUCUGACAUCCUGCUGAAUUAGGGACCCUCUGUCAUCCUGCUGAAUUAGGGACCCUCUGACAUCCUGCUGAAUUAGGGACCCUCUGUCAUCUUGCUGAAUUCAAAACUGGAGGCUAAUAUCCUUAAAGUGUUCAUCCACAACAUAUAAUGCAGUUGAUCGGAGUAAAAUUACAGCAGCGUGGAAUGGAGGGAAAACAUGAAACAGCGGUGACUCCCUGGGAUUCAGGCCUUCAAGGCGUACUUACAAAGCCAUGGCUGUGGGCAGACAGAAGUUAACAGUGUCUUGGCAACAAGUCCACCACGGUCACCGCUAACACCCUCAUCUUAGGAUGGAGGAGAGCACUGGGGAUGUCCCCAGGGCCGUCAGGACCAGCACGGCUGCGGUCUGAAGUCAGGAGGUCCGCCUCCAGGCCUCCGGCUCCUCCAACCUAUGCCGUCCUCUCUCGGGAGCACUCAACAGGCCCACGGAAUGGAUGUGGUCAAUGAGUAAAAUUCCCAACCAGGAGCCCGGGAAGCGAAGCCCACGACGCUCCCAGGAGGCGGAGCUGUGCCUCCCGGGAAAGCGAGCUCAAAGGAGGCCGAGUGUUUCCCGGCCAGGAAGGCCUGGAGAGAAGAUUCUGCGUUAACUCUGCCAACUUCACCAAAUCCUAGGCAGCACGGCGGGAAGCCACUGGAGCGGGAUCGCUACAGACCUGCGCCCGCGGGAAGCUGCCGCUGCCUCCGGCCCAGUGGCGGACGAACCAUCGAGUCG